GACGAACGCUGGCGGCGCGCUUAACACAUGCAAGUCGAACGGUAAGGCCCCUUCGGGGGUACACGAGUGGCGAACGGGUGAGUAACACGUGAGCAACCUGCCCUUGACUCUGGGAUAACAGUUGGAAACAGCUGCUAAUACCGGAUACGACCUUCGAUGACAUCAUCUGGAGGUGGAAAGCGCUUUAGCGGUCAAGGAUGGGCUCGCGGCCUAUCAGCUUGUUGGUGAGGUAACGGCUCACCAAGGCUUCGACGGGUAGCCGGCCUGAGAGGGCAACCGGCCACACUGGGACUGAGAUACGGCCCAGACUCCUACGGGAGGCAGCAGUGGGGAAUAUUGCACAAUGGGCGCAAGCCUGAUGCAGCAACGCCGCGUGCGGGAUGACGGCCUUCGGGUUGUAAACCGCUUUCAGUUCCGACGAAGCGCAAGUGACGGUAGGAACAGAAGAAGGACCGGCCAACUACGUGCCAGCCGCCGCGGUAA
rnacentral:rRNA from 1 species